rnacentral:rRNA from 1 species
GGAAAGACCCCGUGAACCUUUACUAUAGCUUGACACUGAACAUUGAGCCUUGAUGUGUAGGAUAGGUGGGAGGCUUUGAAGUGUGGACGCCAGUCUGCAUGGAGCCGACCUUGAAAUACCACCCUUUAAUGUUUGAUGUUCUAACGUGGACCCGUUACCCGGGUUGCGGACAGUGUCUGGUGGGUAGUUUGACUGGGGCGGUCUCCUCCUAAAGAGUAACGGAGGAGCACGAAGGUUGGCUAAUCCUGGUCGGACAUCAGGAGGUUAGUGCAAUGGCAUAAGCCAGCUUGACUGCGAGCGUGACGGCGCGAGCAGGUGCGAAAGCAGGUCAUAGUGAUCCGGUGGUUCUGAAUGGAAGGGCCAUCGCUCAACGGAUAAAAGGUACUCCGGGGAUAACAGGCUGAUACCGCCCAAGAGUUCAUAUCGACGGCGGUGUUUGGCACCUCGAUGUCGGCUCAUCACAUCCUGGGGCUGAAGUAGGUCCCAAGGGUAUGGCUGUUCGCCAUUUAAAGUGGUACGCGAGCUGGGUUUAGAACGUCGUGAGACAGUUCGGUCCCUAUCUGCCGUGGGCGCUGGAGAACUGAGGGGGGCUGCUCCUAGUACGAGAGGACCGGAGUGGACGCAUCACUGGUGUUCGGGUUGUCAUGCCAAUGGCACUGCCCGGUAGCUAAAUGCGGAAGAGAUAAGUGCUGAAAGCAUCUAAGCACGAAACUUGCCCCGA